CCAGACUCCUACGGGAGGCAGCAGUAAGGGAUAUUGGUCAAUGGGGGAAACCCUGAACCAGCAACGCCGCGUGAGGGAAGACGGUUUUCGGAUUGUAAACCUCUGUCCUCUGUGAAGAUGAUGACGGUAGCAGAGGAGGAAGCUCCGGCUAACUACGUGCCAGCAGCCGCGGUAAUACGUAGGGGGCAAGCGUUAUCCGGAAUUAUUGGGCGUAAAGAGUACGUAGGUGGUUUUGUAAGCGCGGGGUGAAAGGCAGUGGCUUAACCAUUGUAAGCCUUGCGAACUGCAAGACUUGAGUGCAGGAGAGGAAAGCGGAAUUCCUAGUGUAGCGGUGAAAUGCUUAGAUAUUAGGAGGAACACCAGUGGCGAAGGCGGCUUUCUGGACUGUAACUGACACUGAGGUACGAAAGCGUGGGGAGCAAACAGGAUUAGAUACCCUAGUA
rnacentral:rRNA from 1 species